UUGCGCAUGUGCAGUGGAAGUGGGGCCUGGUGGCGCGGAAGGCAGCUUUGCGGCUCGGUGUCUGUGGAGAUGAUGCAUUUGGUUGAGUAUGACAUCUCACAGAGAGCAUGUCCGCAGGCCUUGGAUUGCGGAGCUGCUGCUCGAACAGAGGUCAGGCUGGAGUUGCUGGAAGUCGGCCCCGGUUCAAGUCUCAGAGCUUAUUCCACUUGAGAACUGGAUUAAAGAAGCUGGACAUGAAUCUGCCGUUGUUGUCUAUAUAUCAGAUUUAAAGUACAAAAUUAAGGCUGUGCUGACAGAAGAAGCGGGAUAUAAUCUUCAGCAGGAAGAAGAGAACUAUACACUCAGUCAACUCAAAAGCAAAGUUAUUAUUUUGAAAAAAUUCAAUAUUCAGGUCAGAUUGGAGCUGGAAUUGAAAGAUUGUGAAUUCUAUCUUGUUGUUCAAGAUUUGAAAAUUCUACCAGGAGACAUGGGUUUCUAUGAUGUAUGCUCCUGUAACAAGGAUCUUGCUGUGCAGAAGAAGUUGAGAGAACUCUGGGAAAGUUAUUUAAAUAGCAUGAUAACCCAUGAGAAGACAUUUUCUGAUCUUGGUUUAUCAAAUAUGAUUAAUGCAGCAGAGGAAGAUGAAAUUAGAGUGUUGAAACAUGCUGCUGAACUUUGCCUUGAUCCAGAUGUUGAUCCCAAAGCUUCAACAUCCACAACACCUUUUUUGUUACCAUCACUGAAUCAGCCUUCAGGUUGGAAAGCUAUGAGAAGGCAAAAUAAGAAGAGAAAAAAUUUCACUGUACCGGAAGUAAUGCUAAUGAUUUCUCCUCAACAAGAAGAAGCCUUGAAUAAUAUAAAAGAAUGGAAGGAUGAUUUUGUAUGCACUGAAGAUCCAGAAUCUGGGCAUAAUGGUUACACAGAUGUGUCCAUGGGUAUUACAGUAGAGCAGGAGGUUCCAUCUUCACAGAAUCCUUGGAAUGCAGUAUCCCCUGUGUGCCUUGGUGGAAUUCCAUCUUCAGGAGAAACUUGUAUUUCAUGUACUUCAGAACCUUGUAAGAAGCACAAUGGCAGAUGUCGUGUCCUUUGCUCUACGUUCGUUGAUGCUCCUGGUUGUAGUGGUCUAGCUGGUGAACUUCAGCUUCCAGACAACAGUACACAAGAUGAGCCAGAUAAAUCAGUAGAGUUGUAUACAGAGGAGUCCCAACAUUCAGAAGGCCAUUGUAGUAAAGGUUCAUUACUCUCACUAGCCACAUCAUCAGAUAAUGAAAGAGACAGAAUAUAUGUGACAGAACCUAUGAAAACCAACAGAGUGAAAUCUAUUAAGUCCAGUCUGGCUGCCAGUGACCGUUUGUUUAAAAGCCUGUCUCCUUUAUCAAGUACAGUUGUUAAUUCCAAUGACUUGAAUUGUGUGGGCUCAGCAAAAAACUUUGCUCCUCUGUCACCAGUUAAAAAUGAUGGCCAAUGUAGGCCGAUCAUGGCUUUGUACAAUCAUGCAGCAGAAACUCAAAACAGUGUACCGGAAAUAGAAGAAACACAGUUAAAAGAUAUCAGAGACAAGGAAUGUUAUGAAAGGCCAAGAGCUGCGAAAAGAAGAUGGCAGUCUGGGAGCACAGAAGAUCAAUUGGACAGGAACUGUGUUGAUCAAGGCACUUUCUCGAUGCAGACGAGGGCUGAAAUUGAGGAUGGGGACUCCAUGAACUUGAGUAGCAAUGAGACAUUCAUUGAUGCAGAUCAUUAUGAAGAAAUAGCUGAUGAUUAUCAGAUGAACAACAUUACUGGCCAGAAAAAGGAAAAAGGUAGAAUGAAUAAAAUAUUUAAAGAUACUGAUUUGAAUAAUUUGCCACGAAGCAACAAGAAAGCAUUGUCAACAAAGUAUCAUCAAUUAGACUUUGUUUCCAAGAGACCAUCAGAAGUUCAUAAUUGUAAAGGGCAGGGAUCAGUAGUAACUGCAAUUGGCCAGUACACAGAGGAUGAAUGGGUGCGUGCUUUGCAACAACAUAAUGCUAACCAAAGCAAAGAUGAACCUCGGAGACAUCCUGAUGGAAGCAGAUUUUUAUACAGCUAUCCAGCACCUACUGCUGAGCUAAUCGCUCAAGUGAACUCUAUAAGAUGGUGCCAGACCUGCUGAGUUACACCAGCAUUUGUGUGUUGCUGUAUAUUCCCAAGCACCUGCAGUCUCUUGUGUCUGAAUUUCUUUGGUGCUGUUCAAGUUUGGCAAAAUAUUCAAGUGCUGCUGAAUUUUGUUCAGGAGGAACAAGAAUGAUUGGAAGAUUCACUAAGCUACAAUUUUAAGGAAGAUUCAAAAAGGUUUCAAGUGAUCUACUGAAAUGGGCAGUUUCAUAUCUCUCCGGACCAAGUUUAAAACAAGAUUGACUUCUGCUCAGUGCUGACAUAAUUAACUGGUGCUUGAAUUUUUUCAAGGCACUUAUUAAAUUUGAAUGCCAUUUUCCUUUGAUUUCAAUGAUGGUUUAUAUUACAAGUGUGUUGUUCUGUUAAUUCUGCAAAAUCCCUGAAUGUUGUUUGUAGACUUCCACUUUCAUGUGGAAGUAAUAAAAUCGACAUUGGAAGAGUGGAAAAACAGGUAUUAUGCUACUUCUAUGGGCUGUUCUUGGCAAUUUCUACUGUUGACUUAGAUCAGUUUUGCCUUUGGACAAACCUGGAAGACCUGAAGAACUGGAAAGAGAUCAAAGAAAUUUGUUGCUCUUGCUAAAAAAUGUGAUUAAAUUUCUGAGGAGAAUUUUGUGGCAUGUUCAUAUUUGGCCAUUUUAGAGGUCUAUUACUAUUGUAAUGAAGGGAUUAUAAUUUGCUUUACUGUUUCUGUUUUUGUCUUGAUGUCAUCAGCUUAACUCCAAAUUCAGAGCUGUACUUUUGGUAUGUGCAACAUUUGAAGAGAAGCCAUUAUUGUUUGUUAAUAAAUAAAAGUAAUAUUUUUCUUUCAGUAUUUAAUUUUAAGAAGCUAAA